CACGCUCACUCUUGGGCGUGGAGUGUGACUGCCCAGCUCGCUGGGAGGGAGCUGAAGGGGCAGGUUAGAAAUGCAGCUUUUAAAAAUGAUUUGACCAUCACUGUGGAGGCUUCCUUGUCCGACACCGCGGUCAGCUGGUGAAGAAUCUGCCUGCAAUGCUGGAGACCCUGGUUUGAUUCCUGGGAUGGGAAGAUCCUCCUGAGAAGGGGUGGCUCAGUGGUAAAGAAUCUGCUUACCAAUGCAGGAGACACAGGAGACUCAGGACAUGAGAUGAAACUAUCAGUGACAUUAUUUCUCCUCUCAAAAAUUUUCCCGAGAAAAGAAAUCUGAGG